GCAGUUCAUUAGGUAAUCGCUUGUACUUUCGAGUAUAAGAGGAAAGUCCGGGCAGCGUAGGGCAAUGGCAGUCGCUAACGGCGACCGGAGGUGACUCUAGGGAAAGUGCCACAGAAACGAAACUACCUAAUUUAUUGGGAAAAGAUGAAACGAGUGAGGUAAGAGCUCACAGCAUUCCAUGGCGACAUGGAGUGGAGGUAAACCCUGCCAGCUGCAAGGAGAUCUGCAUUAAGGGCGGCCCGUCCGCAGGUCGAUAUCCGCUUGACCUUAUAGGCAACUAUUCGGCUAGAUAGAUGAUUACCCUCGACAGAACCCGGCUUAUCGAUGUACUGCCUAC
rnacentral:RNase_P_RNA from 1 species